CUCAAUAACGUUUUGCCGUUUGUUAAAUAUUGUACUAUUAUGUGCGCCCUUGCUCAUUGUGUCCUGCAGAGGGCAAUGUUGUCUACAGUGCGUCCAGGACGUGACGUCACUGACCCUAUAUCCUGACUCCAUGUGACUAAAAUUUAUUAUGAAACCGGAGCAGAAGGCAGCAGUAUUGGCGCAUCUGUCAUGCCACGAACGAAGGUUGCAGAGCCAUUUGAGCUGGUCGGCAUGGAUCUCAUGAAGCUAACAGAGGGUGGAAAUCAAUACAUCUGUGUGAUGGUUGAUUAUUUCACAAAGUGGGCAGAAGCCUACCCUCUGAAAAAUAAAUCAGCAGAGUUGGUGACCAAUUGUAUUAUUGAUUUUGUAUACAAAUUUGGUGCACCUCAGAGACUGCUUACAGACCAGGGCACAGAAUUUAAAAACCAGGUGAAGUAAUGACAAACGUUACCUGUUAACAAGGAAUACUGUAAAUGCCGACUUGUGUUCUACUAAAUGCAAUUUAAGGUGAAUGCCAGACUCUGUGAGGCCCUUGGAAUUGAAAGAAGCUUCUGUUCGCCAUACCAUCCACAAACCAAUGGUUUGGUGGAGAAGCUUAAUGGCACCAUACAGAGGUCUCUCGGCAAACUGGCCAGAAAGAACUCAAAAAAAUGGGAUGAGUUUCUUCAGGCGACAAUGUUUGGCCUGCGGACAAAAAAACAAUUGACCACGCAGCACAGCCCUUAUUAUUUAAUGUUUGGCAGAGAGGCCAGGUAUCCCUCAGAGGUGCCAAAAGACUACGAGGUGACAACUGACAAAGUUGAGAAUGUGGCCAGGAGGGAGCAAAUAUUUCAAGGGCUAAGCAACCAACCGGAGACUUACUUAAGAGUUCGAGAAAAUGUAAAGAAAAGUCAGUCCAAAAUUGGAAAUUGGAAAGUGGUUUGGAGGACAAUUUUAAGGUUGGGGACUUAGUUUAAAAAAACAAAACAUUCGAGAAGAGCAGCGGAAGGGGGCGAAAAUGGAGACGGAUAUGUUGGGGCCAUUUACGAUCACAGGCAUCAGUGAGAAAGUGGUACAUUUGGCCAAGGACCAAAGCACGACUGUCGCUAAUAUCGACCAGCUGACACCUUUUAAUGAACCAGAGGACAGAAUCCCAGCUGGACUCACUAAGGUGAGCAGCUGUCCUAUACUUGACCCCCCGCCCCAACAACCACCACCCAGCCUCUCCAGCCCCAACCAACAUGCUGCCAAACCUCCACCAGCUGCAUCUGAAGGGAAUCAACCCAUCCAUGCUAUCCAGGAUAUAUGGCAGACUAAGGGCCAUAUUCUCUGGUCGAAACUGGGCCCAUACAAACUGUUUACGACAGAUUUACAGAACCUGGCACCUGGCAGAGAAUUGGAGAGUGAAAUCAUAAAUGCUUACCUGCUAUGGGUGACCAGAAAAAUCAAAAGUAAGGUGAAAGUCAUUGACAGCUUUGAGAUGACAGCCAUUUGGGAUGGCACAUCAAGGGGGUUGAGACAGCUUGAUGUAAUGGAGUGGGACACUCUUAUUGGAGCUGUCUGCAAGGAUCAUCAUUGGACUCUGGUGGCCAUGUAUUCGAAGGAGGGAAGGGUUAUGUUCAUUGACCCAUUUGGCGCUACUCUCAAGCAACUGAAACAUUGUAGGGAUGCUACAAGGGCUUUCAUGCGGAAAAGAAAUCGGAAUUUAUCCAGAUGGAUAAGCCACACUGUCUCGCAUCCCCCUCAACAAGAUUCAACAUCCUGUGGAGUGCUGGUGUGCAAAAUCGCCGAGCUGCUCCUGACUGAAGGCAACAUUGACUUCGCCGUGGACAACGUUGGGGUCAACAUUUUGCGAGCCGAAAUGGCUAGCAGACUGGUGGAUGACUCUGACAACCUGAAGGACCUGUGCUCUGUAUGUGGCGAAGAGGACUCUCUGGAGAGGGACACCUCAGAGCCAUCAGUAGAUAAUUGGAUUGAAUGCACCCUGUGUCGGCGAUGGUUCCACUGGGUGUGCGUAGCUCGGCCGAAAAUGGAGGAAGAUUAUUUGUGUCGUUUGCUGACCAGGUUUCCACCGAGAUGGAUCCUCUGUUACGAAGAGUACAGAUGUGACUGGGAGGUGAACAGCAGUCCUCCGUGGCUCUCCCGUCAUCCUUGGAGAUGACAACGCAGACUUCUUCAAGAAUUUGAGGUUCAGGAGCAGCCAAUAUGAUGCAGGUGUGACGGCUGAAGAUGGUGUGAGUUUAGGAUGGCGUGAAGCUUCGACUUGACCCUAUGGAAACACAGCAGAUGCCACCAAAGGGUCCUGAUCGGGGACUCUGAUGACCUUCUGGACGUGUCCCACACCUCCAUUGGGACCCUGACGGUGCUGAAGACAUCGUGGCCUCCUCACUCGCUGGACCUGGAGUCGACAACUACUGCCAUCGUUUUGGGAGGAGUAGUCGUGAUGGGUGACCUUGAUGAUCUUCCCCGUGCCGUGUGGCUACUCUUUGGACUUAUUUACCCCUGAAUUUGGAGUAUCCUCAACGAGUGAGGAACACCUUCUGAAUUUAUUCAUAGAGUGCUUCUCACUUGGACCAAAAACCCUAAAAUACAAUCACUAAAAAAUCUACUGAUGCCGUAAGGGACUGUCUGUGUUCAUGAUGUGCAGUCAGGCCCGAGAAUUUCACCCUUCUAUCUCCAAUAGAACUCUUUUAUAGAAAAUGUCUGUUUUUGUUGUUUUUCUGGAGUGAAAUUUAGCAAAUGCCGAAAACGCUGUGUUCAUCAUAUUUCUGCGUUACAAAACCUAAUCUGGCAACAUGUUCAGCGUUUUAAGCACGUUGUUUGAGUUUUAAAACAUGUGUUUUUCUUCUUAAUGAACGUUGUCUUCCAUUGUAACUGUUCUCCUUCUUUUGUUUCAACAACUUACAGUUUUUAGUUCAGCUUACUUGAUCAUUUUAAGGCAAUCGGUUUCCUCACUAUUUCUAAGUAAUGGGAUCUCAUUGACUAGUAAAGUUUACUAGUUGUUAUUAGUAAUGUUUACUUAAUAUAACUUGAAUCUUUUAAGUUAAGUUAACCUCACUAAUAAUUGAUAAGUUAACUAUACGAAUGUUUACUGCAAUUACAUGAGUUGCCUAAACUUAGUUUCUUUUAGCUUUAAGAACUUAAAAUUAUUGAGCUGCUUUACUUAGAAAUGUUGAGGCAAUCGGUUUCCUCACCUUUUUCAAGUAAAGUUAACUUAUUACAUUUUACAGUGCAUGACCUCCCCAGCACUCAAUAUUUCCAACACGUUCAGCAUGCUUGUAUCAGAUAGUGAGUCCAUACAAGAUGUAAUCUUUACCGUAAACCGGAUUAUAUUGUGUCUUGUAUAAACAUAUAUUAUAUAUUGCGAUGUUCAGUUUUUCAGCAGUUGACCAACUUCAGUGCACUAUUGCUCUCCCUUUCUUUUUAUUUUCAGGUUUUAUCUUCGUCAUAUUUCACUGGCAGUCUUUGGAAAAAUGUCAUUUUUAAAUUGUUCACAGAAAUGAAAGUUUUUUUUCUCUUUCUUGGGAGUUUUUCCUGAUCCGAUGUGAGGUCCUGGGACAGGACCUUUGGAAUACCUCUUUCGCAUCACGUGACCCUCUUCUUUUUCCUAAUUGUAAUGAUUUUUAAAUAUUGUUAUUAUAAAUAUAUAUUUUAUGUUGUACUAUUGGAUGAACAAGACUUGUGAAGUUGUUACUUUAAUCUGGUAAUAGUGAGGUCAUUUACUGUAUUUUUUGAAUAAAAAACUAAAACAAACAUUCAA